rnacentral:lncRNA from 1 species
CACAAACUCCAAGGACUGUCUAAAUUUAUUUUAUUUGGAUGAUUUGUUGCAUCAAAUAUUCCUUGAACUGUGAAGAGCAUUGACUGGAUCCUUGACAUGUUUUGUUUAUAAUAUUUUGAUGAUUUUUGUUACUCAUGGUAAAGGGAUUUGACAUGGAUAUCUGGGUUAUGUUUGGCUUUUGGCAUACACUUUGGAGUCUGAUUUAAUGUCAACUUGGUUGUAUCAUUACCAGAUUAAUUGGAUAGAAAUAGAAGUACAUACUGCUACCAUCCCAUCCCUGAUACCAACAAAAUGCCUGUGUCCCAAGGGAAACCCUGUUAAGGGAGCCCAGAACCAUUUUUCAUGAAUCAGGCUAGGGUUUAUCUGAAUUCCUUCCCAUAAAUAGUAUUAGAAUUGAUUUUUACCAUUGCUUAUUUCCUUUGGGCUAGGCACGGUUCUGUUGGGUUGUGCUAAUCUCACAGAAACAGAUGUUUUAUACAGUGAUGAUUUGGAAGACAGUUGAUAUCAGAAAUUGAGCUGGACUGUGCAUCACUUACAAAGAAUCCAAUUUGUCGAGUCUCUGACAGUACCAGAUUCCUUUCAUAUUGGCCACACGUUUUUCAUAUUAGUUCUUGGCUAAAAUAAGAAUAAGUAUGGUUCUUUCAUAGUGACUUUUACCAUCUCUUGCAAGGCAAUCUGAUUUUUCUUGUAUAAACUGAUACACAGAUAAUAUUAUCAGUUAUCAUACAUUAUGAAGGACAUAAAUCUGUGUUUCUAGGAAAAGUAUCAAUCUUUUCCAAGAAAUUUAUGCCUUCUGGUCCUCAUGUCCCCUUUGUCUUCUGACUGACUACAUCAAAGUUUGGCCCUCAGUAGCCACUCUGUUUAUUUUCUCCAUCUUCCUUCAUAACAUCUCUGCUUCUGAGUACUUAAAAGCAUGAUAUGGAAUGUUAAAAAUGGAGACAUGUUGUAGUAUGGAAAAAGUUGGAUUUUGUGAAUCUUUUGUUUCCCUUACCAUAUAACUUUUUUGUGGGUACCAGGAAUUAAACCCAGGGUCACUUAACCACUGAGCCACAUCCCUAGCCCCUUUUUAUAUUUUAUUUAGAGACAGGGUCUGGUUGAGUUGCUAAGGACCUUGCUAAGUUGCUGAGGCUGGCUUUGAACUCUCAAUCCUCCUGCCUUAGCCUCCUGAGCCACUGGGAUUAUGGGCAUGCACUACCAUGCCUGACCCACCUUAUAACUUUUCUUUUGAAUAUUUGUAGGUAAAUAAAUAAUUUAUUUAGAGUACAUAUAGUCAAUUCCUUUGUGGUAGGCAGAUUAAUGCCCCCCCACACACACACCAGAUAUUCAUAUCCUGGUCCCCAGAACCUACGAAUAUGUUAUGUGGCAAAAGGGACUCUGCAAAUAUGACUCAGUGAAGAUUCUGGAGAUGGAGAGUGUUAUAUUUUGGAUUAGUGUCUCUCAAAGGCUAUGUUCCUUGAAGCUUUGGUCCCUAGUUGGUAGCACUAUCGGGAGGUAGUAGAAACUUUAGGAGCUUGGGUGUAAUGGGAGCAAAUUAGGUCACUGUGCAUGUGUCCUAGAAUGAGAUAUUGGGAUCCUGGGUCCUCUUAUUCUUCUCUUUUUCACUUCCUGGUUGCCUUGAGGUGAGCAGCCUUAAGGCUCUGCUGUGGACUCCUGCCAUGAUAUUUUGCCUCGCCACAGGCCUGAAAGCAAAAUGGUCAACUGAGCAUGGACUGAAAUCAUGAGCCAAAACAAAUUUUCCUCUUUUAAAGUCAGUUAUCUCAGGUAUUUUGUUGCAGUAAUGGAAAGCUGACUAAUACAGAGAGAUUAAAUUGGAUAACUCAAGUAGGUACAGUGUCAUCAUAAGAGUCUGUAUACAUGAAAAAUGAAGACAGAGAAGUCACAGAAAAGCAGGGAGGACAAUAGAAGCUGUGAUGUGAUUGUGAUUUAUUGAAGCAGCAAUAGGAAACUAACAUAACCUCCUAAAUAUUGUCAAUAUAUUUUUGAUUCUGUGUUUACCUUUAAAGGGAGAGAGAAAGGAAAGGAGCCAUACUUUAAUUUUUUUUUUUUUUAAAGAGAGAGAGAGAGAGACAGAGAAUUUUUUUUAAUAUUUAUUUUUUUAGUUUUCGGCGGACACAACAUCUUUGUUUGUAUGUGGUGCUGAGGAUUGAACCCAGGCCGCACGCAUGCCAGGCGAGUGCGCUACCGCUUAAGCCACAUCCCCAGCCCGCCAUAUUUUAAUUUGAUUUAAAAAGUAGAUUUUAGGGCUGGGGAUAUAGCUCAGUUGGUAGAGUGCUUGCCCUGCAUGCACAAGGCCCUGGGUUCAAUCCCCAGCACCACAAAAAUAAAUGAAUAAAUAAAGUAGAUUUUAAUGCUCUCCAUCAAUAAGUACUUGGUAAGUCACAUUAAGCUAUAUUUAAAUAAAUCUUAUUGUAUUAGUUAACUAUAUGCUGUAUAACAAAAUUACCCCAAAACUUGGUGCCUUAAGGCAACAUGUAUUGUCUCACAGUGUCUCACAACUUGGCUGUGUUCUCUGGCCCAGAGACUAUUACAAGGCUGCAAUAAAGAUAUCAGCCAAGACUGAAAUUAUGAGCCUCACCUGGAAGGAUGCACUUCCAAACUCAUACUUAUGUGAUUGUUGGCAGCAAUCGUUUUCUAGAGGAUGGUUGGCUAGAGUCUGUUCUCUGUUCCUUGCCACGUGGCCUCUCCAUAGGACAGCUGUUAUGGUUUAGAUUUUGAAUGUCCCGCUUUAACCUUUUUUUGGUGAUGCUGGGGAUUGAACCCAGGGCUUUGUGCAUGUGAGGCAAGCACUCUACCAACUGGGCUAUAUCUCCAGCCCCUUGAAUGGCCCUUUUAAAAGCUCAUGUGUUGAAAGCAUGAUCCCCAAAAUAGCAAGGUUCAGAGGUAGGACUUUUAGGCCAUGAUUGGAUCAUGAGGACUCUGACCUCAUCAAAUGGAUUAAUCCACUCAUAGCUGAAUGGACUACUAAGAUGUAGGACCUCACUGGAGGAAGAAGGUCACUAGGGACAUAAUCUGGAAGAGUUUUAUCUUCUCCCCAGCCCCGCCCCCCUCCCCAUCUGCUAUGAGCUGAGUGGCUUUCUUUCACCAUGCUGUUUCUGCCUUGGAGCCAGCUAAUCUCAGAAGUGACAUCCUAUCACUUUUGCUAUAUUCUAUUGAUUAGAAGCAAGUCACUAGGUGCAGUCCACACUCAGUGAGUGACACAGGGAAAUAUUAGGAGGCAGAAAUCAUGGUGUCAUCUUAUAGUCAACUGCAACAUUUAUGAUCUUGGUUAAAAGUAUAAUUCAUUUUUCCAUAAGGUCAAUGACUCAAAAAUGAGUAGUGAUUUUUUUGUUUUGUUUCUUUGUGUAGAUUGUCCAUGCUUUUUCAUAUUGAUUUCUAGGAGCUCUUUAUAUAUGCAUAAUACUAAUUAUUAUCAGUUAUUUG